AUUGAACGCUGGCGGCAGGCUUAACACAUGCAAGUCGAGCGAGGGAAGGUAGCUUGCUACUGGACCUAGCGGCGGACGGGUGAGUAAUGCUUAGGGAUCUGCCUAUUAGUGGGGGACAACAUCUCGAAAGGGAUGCUAAUACCGCAUACGUCCUACGGGAGAAAGCAGGGGAUCUUCGGACCUUGCGCUAAUAGAUGAGCCUAAGUCGGAUUAGCUAGUUGGUGGGGUAAAGGCCUACCAAGGCGACGAUCUGUAGCGGGUCUGAGAGGAUGAUCCGCCACACUGGGACUGAGACACGGCCCAGACUCCUACGGGAGGCAGCAGUGGGGAAUAUUGGACAAUGGGGGGAACCCUGAUCCAGCCAUGCCGCGUGUGUGAAGAAGGCCUUAUGGUUGUAAAGCACUUUAAACGAGGAGGAGGCUACUCUAGUUAAUACCUAGGGAUAGUGGACGUUACUCGCAGAAUAAGCACCGGCUAACUCUGUGCCAGCCGCCGCCGUAA
rnacentral:rRNA from 1 species